UGGGGAAUUUUGGACAAUGGGCGAAAGCCUGAUCCAGCAAUGCCGCGUGUGUGAAGAAGGCCUUCGGGUUGUAAAGCACUUUUGUCCGGAAAGAAAUCCUUGGCUCUAAUACAGUCGGGGGAUGACGGUACCGGAAGAAUAAGCACCGGCUAACUACGUGCCAGCAGCCGCGGUAAUACGUAGGGUGCAAGCGUUAAUCGGAAUUACUGGGCGUAAAGCGUGCGCAGGCGGUUUGCUAAGACCGAUGUGAAAUCCCCGGGCUCAACCUGGGAACUGCAUUGGUGACUGGCAGGCUAGAGUAUGGCAGAGGGGGGUAGAAUUCCACGUGUAGCAGUGAAAUGCGUAGGGAUGUGGAGGAAUACCGAUGGCGAAGGCAGCCCCCUGGGCCAAUACUGACGCUCAUGCACGAAAGCGUGGGGAGCAAACAGGAUUAGAUACCCUGGUAGUCCACGCCCUAAACGAUGUCAACUAGUUGUUGGGGAUUCAUUUCCUUAGUAACGUAGCUAACGCGUGAAGUUGACCGCCUGGGGAGUACGGUCGCAAGAUUAAAACUCAAAGGAAUUGACGGGGUCAUAGCUGUUUCCU
rnacentral:rRNA from 1 species